rnacentral:rRNA from 1 species
AUUGAACGCUGGCGGCAGGCCUAACACAUGCAAGUCGAGCGGAUGAAGGGAGCUUGCUCCUGGAUUCAGCGGCGGACGGGUGAGUAAUGCCUAGGAAUCUGCCUGGUAGUGGGGGAUAACGUCCGGAAACGGGCGCUAAUACCGCAUACGUCCUGAGGGAGAAAGUGGGGGAUCCUCGGACCUCACGCUAUCAGAUGAGCCUAGGUCGGAUUAGCUAGUUGGUGGGGUAAAGGCCUACCAAGGCGACGAUCCGUAACUGGUCUGAGAGGAUGAUCAGUCACACUGGAACUGAGACACGGUCCAGACUCCUACGGGAGGCAGCAGUGGGGAAUAUUGGAUAAUGGGCGAAAGCCUGAUCCAGCCAUGCCGCGUGUGUGAAGAAGGUCUUCGGAUUGUAAAGCACUUUAAGUUGGGAGGAAGGGCAGUAAGUUAAUACCUUGCUGUUUUGACGUUACCAACAGAAUAAGCACCGGCUAACUUCGUG